rnacentral:rRNA from 1 species
CAAUAGCGUAUAUUAAAGUUGUUGCGGUUAAAAAGCUCGUAGUUGGAUUUCUGCCGAGGACGAUCGGUCCGCCCUCUGGGUGAGUAUCUGGUUCGGCCUUGGCAUCUUCUUGGAGAACGUUACUGCACUUGAUUGUGUGGUGCGGUAUCCAGGACUUUUACUUUGAGGAAAUUAGAGUGUUUCAAGCAGGCACACGCCUUGAAUACAUUAGCAUGGAAUAAUAAGAUAGGACGUUGGUUCUAUUUUGUUGGUUUCUAGAGCUGACGUAAUGAUUAAUAGGGAUAGUUGGGGGCAUUCGUAUUUAACUGUCAGAGGUGAAAUUCUUGGAUUUGUUAAAGACGAACUACUGCGAAAGCAUUUGCCAAGGAUGUUUNCAUUG